rnacentral:rRNA from 1 species
GACGAACGCUGGCGGCGUGCUUAACACAUGCAAGUCGAACGGAAAGGCUCCAGCUUGCUGGAGUACUCGAGUGGCGAACGGGUGAGUAACACGUGGGUAAUCUGCCCUGCACUCUGGGAUAAGCCUGGGAAACUGGGUCUAAUACUGGAUAUGACCUUUCUCCUUAUGGGGUUUGGUGGAAAGUUUUUCGGUGUAGGAUGAGCCCGCGGCCUAUCAGCUUGUUGGUGGGGUGAUGGCCUACCAAGGUGACGACGGGUAGCCGGCCUGAGAGGGUGAUCGGCCACAUUGGGACUGAGAUACGGCCCAGACUCCUACGGGAGGCAGCAGUGGGGAAUAUUGCACAAUGGGCGGAAGCCUGAUGCAGCGACGCCGCGUGAGGGAUGACGGCCUUCGGGUUGUAAACCUCUUUCAGCAGGGACGAAGCGUAAGUGACGGUACCUGCAGAAGAAGCACCGGCUAACUAUGUG